rnacentral:rRNA from 1 species
UACGAAGGGGGCUAGCGUUGCUCGGAAUUACUGGGCGUAAAGGGCGCGUAGGCGGAUAGUUUAGUCAGAGGUGAAAGCCCAGGGCUCAACCUUGGAAUUGCCUUUGAUACUGGCUAUCUUGAGUUCGGGAGAGGUGAGUGGAAUGCCGAGUGUAGAGGUGAAAUUCGUAGAUAUUCGGCGGAACACCAGUGGCGAAGGCGACUCACUGGCCCGAUACUGACGCUGAGGCGCGACAGCGUGGGGAGCAAACAGG